rnacentral:rRNA from 1 species
GAUGAACGCUGGCGGCAUGCCUAAUACAUGCAAGUCGAACGAGAGGAAGGAAAGCUUGCUUUUCUGAAUCUAGUGGCGAACGGGUGAGUAACACGUAGGUAACCUGCCCAUGUGCCCGGGAUAACUUCUGGAAACGGAUGCUAAAACCGGAUAGGUAGCAGACAAGCAUUUGACUGCUAUUAAAGUGGCUAAGGCCAUGAACAUGGAUGGACCUGCGGUGCAUUAGCUAGUUGGUGAGGUAACGGCCCACCAAGGCGACGAUGCAUAGCCGGCCUGAGAGGGCGGACGGACACAUUGGGACUGAGACACGGCCCAAACUCCUACGGGAGGCAGCAGUAGGGAAUUUUCGUCAAUGGGGGGAACCCUGAACGAGCAAUGCCGCGUGAGUGAGGAAGGUCUUCGGAUCGUAAAGCUCUGUUGUAAGAGAAAAACGACAUUCAUAGGGAAUGAUGAGUGAGUGAUGGUAUCUUACCAGAAAGUCACGGCUAACUACGUGCCAGCAGCCGCGGUAAGAC